CACGUAGGGUGCGAGCGUUGUCCGGAAUUAUUGGGCGUAAAGAGCUCGUAGGCGGUGUGUCGCGUCGGCCGUGAAAACCUGCAGCUUAACUGUGGGCUUGCGGUCGAUACGGGCAGGCUAGAGUUCGGUAGGGGAGACUGGAAUUCCUGGUGUAGCGGUGAAAUGCGCAGAUAUCAGGAGGAACACCGAUGGCGAAGGCAGGUCUCUGGGCCGAUACUGACGCUGAGGAGCGAAAGCGUGGGGAGCGAACAGG
rnacentral:rRNA from 1 species